GGCUUUGCGAUGAUUGGGAAAAGUAUAGAUGAUCGUUGUUUUCAGAGAGAGGUCAAACGGUGAGACGACCUUAGCGAUAUCAUCUGGAAGUGCCCCCAAGAGCUAGUUUCCCCAAUGGAUGGUGAUGAUUUGCCUAUCUUAGUAGGGAGAUUCGGUACCCUGCCGUUAUCAGGAUUUAAGGGGAAUCCACUUUUGGUAGGUGGGUUCAAACAGAGUGGAACCGCGGGCAAACCGUCUCUGUA
rnacentral:ncRNA from 1 species